ensembl:lncRNA
GGGUUCGAGCAGCCCCGCCUCUGGGGGCCAAGGCUGGUAGUGAACUUGAUUUGGGAAAGCAGAUUUUCCUUUUUAAUAAUAUUUACCUGCUCCCCAUGCUCUCCUAUAUUGGCGUUUCCAGGACAGCCUCUUCUCAGCUUCAGAAACCGGACAAAUAAGAUAACGCGCCCGCUCCCUCGCGGGUUGCCAGGCAGAACUGAUGGUGUGACCCUGGACUGGUCCCCGUCGGCCCCUUUCCGGUGUUUUGCGUUUCUUUCUCCUUGCCCUCGGCUUACGUGACGUUACUAGAUGAUAUGUUUAAAAUUUAGUAGAUAAAUGAGACCCUAGCUGCCUGAAAACUGAGACCCAGCCCGUUUGGUACAGCCACGCCGCCGCCAAGCUCUCCAGUGCCGGAGGAGGCCCCGAGGUUCGCUGCCCCAGGCCCGGACUCCAACCAGGACACCUCUCCCUGACGAUCCGGGGCCCAACCCUAACAGCAAGUACAGUUCUGAGAAUUGUGGAACUUCAUCCUUUCAUUUUAAGACAUUCCUGCCUUUGCUUGAUGGAAUCCUGUGUAAGUAGAGUGGGUCAUAACUCGGUUCAGGGCUUACAUUAUCCAGUGUUAUCUGAUGGUCUGAAAAACGCCCAAGUUGAAGGAAUGCAACAGAAACUCACACGGAGAGCUUCCUUGACAUGUGGCUGUGGGCUUGGUGUGCCCAUGAAGUGCUCUGAUAAAGCCCCGUGUCCCUUGCAGCCACACGGAAGGCUUGAGCUGGUGGCUGGGAGAUGGGUGCAUAUGUCUGUCAGAACUGUGGGUGCUUGUGUGGAUGCAGUGUGGUUACGUACCUAGACCCUGUUUGUAUCUAUACUCUCCGUGUGUGUGUAUACACCCACUGGGCUAAGACCUCCCUGUCCCUUUUCCCACAGGACACGUCAGCAGAGGCCAAUAACUGUUCAAAACAUCACUUCCAACAUUAUCCUGUGGCACUGAUACUUACUCCCAGAAUUGCACAACAGAGUGGAAUGUAUUUUCUGCCAUAAAAGGGGAGUUUAGGAGAGUGAUUCCUUCUUGAAGCCUCUUUUUCUCCUUGCCUCCCCCACCCGCCAAAGUGAAGUGAGGACCAGGGGAAGUAAAGAAACAGCAGAGAAAGGACAGGCCUGGGAAGACCCAGCUAUCUUGUUAGAAAGACCAAAGUCAUCCCAAGUGAAAAGCCCCAGAACAGCAAACGGCAACAGAUGGUUAAAUGUUUUCUUGGCUGAGGAGUUCAGCAUCCACACGUGAGAAAACAGAAGAUGAUCCCGAGCUGUGUGGUGAUCUGUGAUGGGGGUAGCAGCCUUGAGGAGCCAGCACUCAGUCCACCAGGAGCAGGUGCUUAUGACUGUGUUCAGGUGAAACUGGCUUCAAGUCCUGCCUCUCCCACUUACUGACUCUGGGACCUUGGACAGGUUCUUUAAUCUCUUUAUGGCUCUGUUUUCUUAUGUGUGAAAUUGGAAGAGGAAUAGAAGCUUCCUCGUUAAAUGGUGAUGAGGGGUAAAUGAGUAGAUGCAGGGCAAGUGGUUCGAUCAAUGUCUGAUCAGCCAGUAUUGUCAGAGCACCACUCUGGGCUGUGUGUGGGGAGCAAGGGGGGCUCUGAGGGGCUGGCCCAGCCCCUCCACAUCCUGCAGAGGAGG